UGCACUCACAAUGGUAAGUCGCUCUGGAUAAGAGUGCCUGCUAAAUGACUAAAA
rfam:Salmo salar isolate Sally breed double haploid chromosome ssa01, whole genome shotgun sequence.